AUGAACGCUAGCUACAGGCUUAACACAUGCAAGUCGAGGGGCAGCAUGGUCUUAGCUUGCUAAGGCCGAUGGCGACCGGCGCACGGGUGAGUAACACGUAUCCAACCUGCCGUCUACUCUUGGACAGCCUUCUGAAAGGAAGAUUAAUACAAGAUGGCAUCAUGAGUCCGCAUGUUCACAUGAUUAAAGGUAUUCCGGUAGACGAUGGGGAUGCGUUCCAUUAGAUAGUAGGCGGGGUAACGGCCCACCUAGUCUUCGAUGGAUAGGGGUUCUGAGAGGAAGGUCCCCCACAUUGGAACUGAGACACGGUCCAAACUCCUACGGGAGGCAGCAGUGAGGAAUAUUGGUCAAUGGGCGAGAGCCUGAACCAGCCAAGUAGCGUGAAGGAUGACUGCCCUAUGGGUUGUAAACUUCUUUUAUAAAGGAAUAAAGUCGGGUAUGGAUACCCGUUUGCAUGUACUUUAUGAAUAAGGAUCGGCUAACUCCGUGCCAGCAGCCGCGGUAAUACGGAGGAUCCGAGCGUUAUCCGGAUUUAUUGGGUUUAAAGGGAGCGUAGAUGGAUGUUUAAGUCAGUUGUGAAAGUUUGCGGCUCAACCGUAAAAUUGCAGUUGAUACUGGAUAUCUUGAGUGCAGUUGAGGCAGGCGGAAUUCGUGGUGUAGCGGUGAAAUGCUUAGAUAUCACGAAGAACUCCGAUUGCGAAGGCAGCCUGCUAAGCUGCAACUGACAUUGAGGCUCGAAAGUGUGGGUAUCAAACAGGAUUAGAUACCCUGGUAGUCCACACGGUAAACGAUGAAUACUCGCUGUUUGCGAUAUACGGCAAGCGGCCAAGCGAAAGCGUUAAGUAUUCCACCUGGGGAGUACGCCGGCAACGGUGAAACUCAAAGGAAUUGACGGGGGCCCGCAUAAGCGGAGGAACAUGUGGUUUAAUUCGAUGAUACGCGAGGAACCUUACCCGGGCUUAAAUUGCAGAUGAAUUACGGUGAAAGCCGUAAGCCGCAAGGCAUCUGUGAAGGUGCUGCAUGGUUGUCGUCAGCUCGUGCCGUGAGGUGUCGGCUUAAGUGCCAUAACGAGCGCAACCCUUGUUGUCAGUUACUAACAGGUUCUGCUGAGGACUCUGACAAGACUGCCAUCGUAAGAUGUGAGGAAGGUGGGGAUGACGUCAAAUCAGCACGGCCCUUACGUCCGGGGCUACACACGUGUUACAAUGGGGGGUACAGAGGGCCGCUACCACGCGAGAGGAUGCCAAUCCCAAAAACCUCUCUCAGUUCGGACUGGAGUCUGCAACCCGACUCCACGAAGCUGGAUUCGCUAGUAAUCGCGCAUCAGCCACGGCGCGGUGAAUACGUUCCCGGGCCUUGUACACACCGCCCGUCAAGCCAUGGGAGCCGGGGGUACCUGAAGUGCGUAACCGCGAGGAGCGCCCUAGGGUAAAACUGGUGACUGGGGCU
rnacentral:rRNA from 1 species